ACUAUUUUGGCAGAGAAAUGCAUUGAUUUUAGAAGUCAUAAAUAUAUAAAUUAUACUAUAUAGAUAGUA
rnacentral:tRNA from 1 species